rnacentral:lncRNA from 1 species
GAAAGCUCUGGCCUUUUGCACCCUCUGCUCCUGCUCUUCCUCACCAGGGAAGUGGAUGGAGGAAGGCAUCUCCAUUAUGAUUUGCCAAGCACACCACCGGCCAGUGACAGAGGACCCUCAGGAAGAUGAAUGUAGCUGAGGUCUUUGAACCCUCAAGGUGGAAAUGCCUCUGUGAAGCCUCGGGGAAAAUCCUCACAAGGCCAGAUUCCAAAGCAAAGGUCCAGAUGCAGCAAGCAGCCCUGCCCACAUUCUGUAAAUCCCCUCGGUGAAGAGCCCAUCAGUAACUGAUGAUUCUGAAGUAGGUUAAUGGUCAGUAUGUGUAAACAUCCAGUAUGUGUA